AUGCGCAGCGCGGGUGUUGUUCUUUUCGAAACCUGUUGCAGAGGGAGAAAACGGCGAACAUUUAGCUGUGAAAUAUUUUUUAUUUUAUUUAUGCUGGUGUCUGAAAACAUUUUCUGUUGACGUAGAGGGAGAAAACGGCGAACAUUUAGCUGUGAAAGAAAUAUAUUGUUUUGAUGCUGGUGUCUGAAAACCUUUUCUGUUGACAUAGCUGUGAAAAGAAAAGAGCGUAGAAGGACAGCGGACUGGAUUCUGACCUGCAGGCCUGAGUUUGGAUUUCCAUUUCUACUACCUCGCCAUUGCUCAUAUAGUGUUUAUAGCCCAGUGGGUUGAAAACUUCAUGACUGAGAGCUGUUCUUCAUUACUACUGAACACACAACAACCAUGACUUGUAUAGUCAUCUUCAUCUGGACACUUGUCCUCUGCUUCAAAGAAUCCAGAGGUCAGUACAUUGUGACUCAGACUCCUGCAGUUGAAGCUGUUCUCCCAGGACAGACAGUCUCUCUGAAAUGUAGAACCAACAGUAAUGUGCAAGGUACUUGUUGGAAUGGUCAGUCAUCGAAUGACCGUCAGUGUCUAGCCUGGUUCCAACAGAAACCUGGAGGAGCUCCCUAAACUCCUAAUUUACUCUGCUAAUAUACUUCAGUCUGGGGUUCCAUCUAGAUAUAGUGGCAGUGGAUCUGGGAGUGACUUCACCCUGACCAUCAGUGGAGUCCAGACUGAAGAUGCAGGAGAUUACUACUGUCAGAGUUUACAUUGCCCUAGUAGCUGUGUGUUCACACUGUGAUACAGAGCCGUACAAAAACCUCCCUAAGUCAGACUGUACAGUGACUGAACUGUUACAGCUGGGACCUACUGCAGGUGUUGAGGGGGAAGAGACAGUGACAUGGACCACUGGUCAGUAGAGGUCAACUUUGAAUGAGAUUAGAAAGGAUUAUUCAUAUCACAUGUUCUCCAUCAUUAUAAUCACACAUGAUGAUUGUGACUUGUUACAUGGUGUAGAAUUGCACCCAUGAAGUUAUUUCAUGUUUUGAAACACACUAGAGUUGGUAAAUAAUGCCACUUGCAACACCAGUGUUGGAGGGGUUCAUUCCCACAAGUAGAUACACUCAUGCUGACAGUCGUGAUAAGUGUUGCAGUUUGUGGAUAAGAUUGUCUGCUACAUAACUUAGAAUGCUGAGGUGAUGAUACAUCCUCUGAAACUAUCUGACCUGUCACCUGUCCAGAAUCUCCAAAACAAUGACCUUCAGCACCAUCUUCAUCUAGAUAUUUUACCUCAUAAUUAUCUUCAUUUUAACAAUCAUCACUAUCAUGGUUUGUUAAAUUACACAUGAUCGGAAAGUGAAAAUGUGUUGUUCUAGAAACUAAUGGUCUUGAGUCUGAAGUUCUAUAGAAGUCUUUAAUUAUUUUCGUGCAUGGGAAAAAGAAAAGAUAACAGCCAAACAGGAUGGGUGAAACUCAAGUGUUUCAAAGUAUCUAGAUAUAACAAGCUGGUUUUAUGGGCCCAUAGUAGUUGGCUACUCCCCCUUAAGUAUACAGUCAUCCCUAUAAAUGGAAAAACCAUCCAUAAUCUGCUCAGUCUUUUCUCCCUACUUCCACAUAUCCAUAUAUCGUUUCUGAUUAUCCAACAUUAGAUUAGCUCACUUCAUAAACAGGUUACUGAACAUGAAUCAAACCUGAUGCUGGGCUGAAACAUGAGAAACAUGGUUUGUACAUACACUAUCUACAAGAAAUAUAAUACCCAUUUUAGUGGCAUAUCUGGUAUGUUUCCCUCAUUAAAACCACCAUGUAUGUUAAAACCAGGCACUCACAUCUAGACCAGUCCAGGUUAUAUCAAACAGUGUUCAACAGCUAGUCUGGUAGCCGUGGGAGUAAAACUGAGAUUUCCAUAGACAGGGCUGGUUGGUAUGGUAACUAAAUGUUCACCUUGUUCCAAGGACGUUGAGAAGACUGUGAUUGUCUUGAAGUUGUGGUACUAGUAAUAUUAUGUGUGAACAUUUAAGAAAAGGGCUAAAAUCAGGUAUGAUCACACUUGUGAGUCUGUGAUGAAAUGUUUAAUUGUCAUGCCAUGUCAGUGAGAUCCAAUGCCUUCCUAAUCUCAUUAAUUCACAAUAAAUUGUUGUUAUUUUA